GAGGAGAGUAUCCUAAGGCCAGCGAGAGAACGGUUGUUAAGGAACUCGGCAAAAUGACCCCGUAACUUAGGGAUAAGGGGUGCCACCAUCAGGUGGCCGCAGAGAAUAGGCCCAAGCGACUGUUUACCAAAAACAUAGGUUUCUGCUAAGUCGAAAGACGAUGUAUAGGAGCUGACGCCUGCCCGGUGCUGGAAGGUUAAGGGGAUCUGUUAGAGCAAUCGAAGCAGUGAACUUAAGCCCCAGUAAACGGCGGCCGUAACUAUAACGGUCCUAAGGUAGCG
rnacentral:rRNA from 1 species